UAGGCUCAAGGAUUAUCUCAGAUUUGUACAAGAAGGGACCACUUGCAAGUUCACUAAAGAAAGUAAGCUCCAUUUGCAGAGCCAAGGUUGGAGUGGAGGUACCAAAGUAGCUUGAGGAAUAUGGAGCUGAGGCUUCUAAAGUUGCAUGUAGCCUCUUAUUGGAGGCCACAGUUCAUCCUGAAAUUCUUCUCAAUUAAGCACAUCUUCAUGAUGUGGAUUAACGUGUUGGAGUCUGUCCACUUGUACCAAGAAACAGGAUUUACCAUUCAGUUUCAGCACCAUAAAAAUGAACAAGCAUGUCCUGGAAGAUACCCUGAUCUUUGACUUCAGUGUUGUCAUGUAGCAGAGGCUGAACAAACCAAGAGCAUUUAAUUGUCGUCUUCAUGUUGUUCUGCUUCAGUGUCACAGUGCAGUUAUGUCUGUAAUGUGGUCCUAAGUACGUUUACUUAGAAUAAAGCACACUUGAGUUCAAUAUUA